rnacentral:tRNA from 1 species
UCUUCGUUUCUCUUUCUUCAGAUGAUGAUUCCAAGCCUUCUGGCGACCUGACAGAUUGUAAGGUGCGUUGCCGGUAGGUUUGCCGGUAGACGAGACGUUUGCCGAGGGCUUGUAGCUCAGUUGGUUAGAGCGCGCGCUUGAUAAGCGUGAGGUCGGAGGUUCAAGUCCUCCCAGGCCCACCAAUGUUUGCGUUUAUAACAGAUAUUUCAAAGUUUAUAGCUUAAGAUAUUUGUAUAAAAAGUUUAAGGGGCCAUAGCUCAGCUGGGAGAGCACCUGCUUUGCAAGCAGGGGGUCGUCGGUUCGAUCCCGUCUGGCUCCACCAAAACUUUUGGUUGGGUAAGAUUAUUUAAUCUGGAUUGAUUUAAAGCAUCAUCUUAAGAAAACAAGUUUUGCUGACUUUUAUUAUAUGAAGUUAAGAGUUGGCCUGUUCUAUUGAAAUUUGAAGAGAAGA